GGUAACGGGUAACGGGGUGUUAGGGCACGACACCGGAGGGGGAGCCUGAGAAACGGCUACCACAUCCAAGGAAGGCAGCAGGCGCGCAAAUUACCCAAUCCCGACAUGGGGAGGUAGUGACAAUAAAUAACAAUACAGGGUUCUUUUGGAUCUUGUAAUUGGAAUGAGUACAAUUUAAAUCUCUUAACGAGGAACAAUUGGAGGGCAAGUCUGGUGCCAGCAGCCGCGGUAAUUCCAGCUCCAAUAGCGUAUAUUAAAGUUGUUGCAGUUAAAAAGCUCGUAGUUGAAUUUCGGGAUCAAGGGAUCGGUCAUGCCUUGGUAUGUACUGGUUUUAUUGGUUCUCACCUUCUAAAGAACCAUAAUGUCAUUUAUUUGAUGUUAUGGGGAAUUAGGACUGUUACCUUGAAAAAAUUAGAGUGUUUAAAGCAAGCUUACGCUUGAAUACAUUAGCAUGGAAUAAUGAAAUAGGACAUCAGAUUCUAUUUUGUUGGUUUCUAGGAUCGAUGUAAUGAUUAAUAGGGAUAGUUGGGGGCAUUAGUAUUCAAUUGUCAGAGGUGAAAUUCUUGGAUUUAUUGAAGACUAACUACUGCGAAAGCAUUUGCCAAGGAUGUUUUCAUUAAUCAAGAACGAAAGUUAGGGGAUCGAAGACGAUCAGAUACCGUCGUAGUCUUAACCAUAAACUAUGCCGACUAGGGAUCGGAUGAUGUUA
rnacentral:rRNA from 1 species